AAGUGGUCUGGGUUACUCGCUGCCGCCGCCGCCAGCGCCUGAGCCGGGAAGCCGGGCCCUUGCUAGGGGGGUUUCCCGAGUCCCCGACGUCCUUGAAACUGCCGGGGUGGCUUAGCUUCAGGGUUUUGGCCGAGAACACCCAUAAAGUUUAAAAUAAAACCUUCCUGCCGGGCGUCGAGGACAGAAGGGGCCGAGAGUCUCGGCGCGCCCCGGCCCCACCCCCUGCUCUGGUCGGUGGAAGAGGAUGCUGACUGAGGGCUUGGCCUAGAGGACCGGACGAUUCGGAGCCCCCCGCAGCCCCCGCCAGCCCCCAGCUGCCCUCCCACACUUACAAAGGAAAUGCAGGCAGCCAGGAGCAGGAUCCUCACCAGAAGGUCUUCAAACUGCUCCACCACCAACUCCCACAGGGACUUCCCUGAAGGCAGAGGGAAGCGGAGGGGCCCCGGGUUCAGGUCAAGAGGAUGAACGUGGGAACCCCAAGUGCAGGCAGGGGACCAGGGGCUGAGAGUGCCCUGGGUUAGGGCUUGGAGCCGGGAGGUUCUGGGAUAGGGGUGGGCCUCUUGGGCGAGAGAGAAAGGGCUAAGGGAGCUUGCCAGGGGCCCCAAAACCAGCUCCUCAAAAGUAGUGGGGAUUUGUUCAAGGGUUGGAUGCCACAAGGAGAGAGUGACUGGAAACUUCUGUGCCUGGCCAGACUCUAACCUUUGGGGAGGGAUGUUUGCCCAAGGAGUCUGGAGGGAGAAGGGAGUAGGAUCAGGGUUGGGAGGGUCAUUUAUGAGAGCCCAGGGACUCCAGUAACUUACCUUCCUCAGCAGGGAGCUCUACCCAGGGAAAAAGAAGAAAAGGAAAUAAUCAUUUGGGGUUCAGUCCAAUGCCCUCCAUACCCAGGACUUCACAGCUAAGAUGAGGACACUGAGGCCUGGAGUGGCCAUGCGUGCCAGGUCACACAGCAAGAGGCCAGGCCAGGAGUGGGAGCCGGUGCCGCCAUCCAUCCUUCUGCUUUGUAGCUCCGUCAGCCUGCCCCAGCCCUCUGCAGCCAGACUCCACAGCUGUCACAUUCCUUCCCUCCCGACACAACUGCCCUGACCCCUCUCUCUCUGCUUGUAGGAAACCUUCACCUGAGAUUCUCGGCAGGAAGCACCCCUGGAGAGCAUCAGUCCUGCUGCUCACUGUCCUCUCCCUGCAAUGGUCUUGGCUGGGGCUCCAGAGCAGCACUAUUUAGCCCUGAACUUACUGCUCAGCCAGCAGGACAGCCCACAGAGGAGCCACGGGUCCCAAAGCACAGGCCCCAGAGCAGCAGGAACUGACUCGCACCCGACUCCCUGGAGCUCCCAACACCCUGUUGCCUUCCUGACCCGCCUCGCUCAGUUCCCCCCCCAAACACUGGCCACAGCCAUCAGAAUGGAACCAAGAUAAACCCUUUUAUUUAUUUA